GUCAAUGAUCUGAUCACUGAGUAACAAAUAGAUAUACCAGCACUUCCUGUAUGGAUCAGCCGACUAAUUCAAUGAUAAUUGCUCCGACUCUAAGCAUUUUGAAUCUAUAAAUAGAAUAACAAAAGGAAGGAAACGAAAUUUUAAACUGAUUUCCGCCAUUAAAAAAUAACAUGAAACCUACAGUUCACGACACAUCGCAUAGGAAAUUAAAAUAAAUAUUAGGCCUAUAGGUUUAAUAAAUAUUGCAUAGAAUAUAGAAAUUUAGAUCUAGUGUUCUGGUUAGUAGUUAUUUUAUGUUUAUUAGAAUAUAGUCUAGAAUCUAAUCAUACGGCUGCAUAAAAAGAAAGUUUGAAGGAAAUAGAAUAGGAAUCUAGAGAAGCGGAGGUAAGAAGGUUAAAUUAGUAAUUUAUAUGAUUUUUAUUGUAGUUUCACUGUUUGUUAGGCCCAAUUAUUAAAUCUUUAGAUCAGGGGUCCAGCUUGAUCAUGUGUGGUAUCUAUUGUGGUGCAUUGGAAUGAAAAGCCCACAUACUUAAAUAUAGAAUCUAGUAGGCCUAUACUAUACUAUAACUGUACUGCCAUACUUUAAAUUUGUUACCACAAGAAAAAAGUCUAUUUACUAUUAUUAGUUAUAAUUAAAUUAAAUUGAAAUAUUUGUUUAUCUUUAUAGUUUAUAGUGAAUGCAUGCUAAUGAGCAUUAUUCAAGCUGCUGUUAUAUUUAGGCUUCUAGGCCUAUAUACUCUAUAGCUUAGGCUAUAUACUAUACACUAUAUAUUAUAUACCAAUAUUGUGCAUAAAACUUAAAGCAUGUAAGCAUACACAAUAAUAAUUAUCAUUAGACCAAUAGUAACUAAGACUCGUACUAUUUAGUACUACUUUAAUACUACCUUUAAAAUAUUAGGCAUAAUGAAAUAAUGAUUAAUGAUUUCAGUGUUUUCCGCACUCGAGAGGAAAGAGUUUGUAGGGAACUUAGAGACUAAUCUUUGCCAACAUACUGGAUUUCAGGUGAUGACAAUAGCAGCAGAUAGUAUGUGGCUCAGUUAAUACUAAAAACAAUUUAUUUUAGUAAUUAGUGGACUAUGAGUGUGGGUUUGGCCAUCCAGAUUUCAUAAUUCAAUUACAAGAGAUAUUAAACAGUCUACAUGGACUAUACACUGUGCCUAGUUUCAUCCUCAGAGACUGAUGUGUAAGCUUAAAGUAAAGACAUCAAAUCAAAGUAUCAGCCAUCAAGAGGAAGAACAUUCAAAAUCAUAUUGUGAUACACAAAUCAAGCAAGUCUAUGACCAGCAUUAUGAUACAGGCCAAGAAAAAGCUGGAUAUUUGAUUGAAAGGGUGGCACAAAAAAGAUGGGUUAUCACUAGGGAAACAAGCUCGGAAUACAGUUCACUGUUGGGACAUCAAGCCAAAUACUUCUAAACUUAUUUGAAUCAUUUUUGCUGUUUAUUAUAAUUCAUCCAAUUGUCUUAUUAAAUAUAUAAAUUUAUAUAUAUACACAAUUCCUAAUAUAGAAUUUCUAAAAAUGUUUUAUUAUAAUAUUUAAAAAUGAA